CAUUGCUGGGAUUGAAGAUGAACAGAGGUUGGAGGUCCUAAAUCCAUCAAAUCAUAAUGUAAGGAGGAUAGCCUGUUAAAACUAUCUGAUUUGAUUUCUGAACCUAAACCGGCCCUUAUUACUUUCUUUACACUAGUAGAAAAUAACAUCCAGGAAAGAAAACCCUGGAUUUUUGUUUUUCUUAUUUUCCUUAACCCGGAAAUAUUUGAUCCUGAAUUUUUGUUGUUUUACAACUAAACUAUCCUGUAGAAAUCUGAUUCUUCCCAAUCAAUUAGUCAUCUUACCCAAAUGUUAGUCUGAUAUGUGAUUAAGUGAGCUUUAAAGUAUUAUUUAAAUAUUUGGCGCAUGCGCAUAAAUCGAACAAUAAAAAUAUAUAUAAGACAGAUCUGGUGAAGCUCAUGUGUGAGCCUGCUCUUGGAGCCUAUUUUCACAGUUAGUGGAUCUUAUAUAUUUGUGGCGCAAAGCGGGAAGGACUUAUUGCCCAGCGUCUCAGAAUUAAUUGGGUUCAAGAUAUCAUUGUGGUUGUUUCUGUUGUUUGGAGGUAUUAGGGGCUUUGCAGCAGAUAGAGGGAAAAAGUUAAAGACCAAAGCCUCGAGAUUAAUUGGGUUCAGAAUAUCAUUGCGGUUACAAGUUGUGGUGGAUGUAGCGUUACCAAGUCAACCACUGGAGGUAUUCAGGUGAUGGCUUCGGUAACGAGUCAAUUAGGGUAUUUGAAUGCAAUGUUAUAAUCUUAUUCAUAUAAUGCUGUCAUUAUUUUGAACAAGAUAAUUAAUUGUUUGGUUUUUCAGGUUC